rnacentral:rRNA from 1 species
GACACGGCCCAGACUCCUACGGGAGGCAGCAGUAGGGAAUCUUCGGCAAUGGGGGGAACCCUGACCGAGCAACGCCGCGUGAGUGAAGAAGGUUUUCGGAUCGUAAAGCUCUGUUGUUAAGGAAGAACGAGUGUGAGAAUGGAAAGUUCAUACUGUGACGGUACUUAACCAGAAAGGGACGGCUAACUACGUGCCAGCAGCCGCGGUAAUACGUAGGUCCCGAGCGUUGUCCGGAUUUAUUGGGCGUAAAGCGAGCGCAGGCGGUUAGAUAAGUCUGAAGUUAAAGGCAGUGGCUCAACCAUUGUAGGCUUUGGAAACUGUUUAACUUGAGUGCAGAAGGGGAGAGUGGAAUUCCAUGUGUAGCGGUGAAAUGCGUAGAUAUAUGGAGGAACACCGGUGGCGAAAGCGGCUCUCUGGUCUGUAACUGACGCUGAGGCUCGAAAGCGUGGGGAGCGAACAGGAUUAGAUACCCUGGUAGUCCACGCCGUAAACGAUGAGUGCUAGGUGUUAGGUCCUUUCCGGGACUUAGUGCCGCAGCUAACGCAUUAAGCACUCCGCCUGGGGAGUACGACCGCAAGGUGAAACUCAAAGGAAUUGACGGC